rnacentral:lncRNA from 1 species
GGAGGUUCUGGUCUUUAUUAGCAAGCCCGGCCUGCAGCUCCCCUCCCCCCAGCCCAACCAGGCAGACAGAAAGUCGGGGUCUCUGUGUGGGGCAGGAAGAGGUACCAGUGGUUCUACUCAAAACGUGUGCACCAGCUGGACUGUGGGCAGAGUCUGGACAAUCUGGAUGGAGGGCAGGCUCUGUGGGGUCAUGCCCCCAGGCGCAGUUCCUGCAGGGACCACUUGUACCAUCUGGGAAGUGGGAGCCGCAGGGAUGCCCGCGGGGAGCGAGGCUGGGCCAGGUGGCGGUGGGGCCAGCAGCUGCAGCGUGGCGGCGCCUCCCCCAACGCUGCUGUUUUCCAGCAGCUCGGUGGCCGGGGCACUGCGGAUGAUGAGCAGUUUCUGUCCCGAGGGGCCGGGGGCAGGCGGCUCAGCCAGCCCCGGGGAGAGGGUCUCUACCUCCUGCACACACAGCUGGGUCUGCUCCCCAUCGGCCCCGCUCAGCACCAGGACGCUCUGCAAUCCCUCGUCAGUCUGCAGCGUCUCAAAGAGCACAUCCUGGACCACACCAGCGCUGGCCUCGCCGUCACCCGGCUCCCCAGGGCUGGGGCCCGCCAGUAAUUCCUCUGCUGCUCCACUCUGAACCACCAGCAGGUUGGGGGCCUCAGUGGUCACUGUUCCUGCACUAGGAUUGGACAGCUGGCCCGCCACAGACUGGAGUUGGACCGUGGUCACUUCCUGUGCCGGCUGCAGCUGGACCGUGGUCACCUCCUGUGCCUGCUGGAGCUGGACCGUGGUCACCUCCUGUGCCUGCUGGAGCUGGACCGUGGUUACUUCCGGGGCUGGCCGGAGGGGCUGGAGCUGGACCCCACUCAUUUCCUGUGGCCCCGCCUCCCCACUCCCUACAUUCUGCAGAACGAUGAGGCUCUGUCCUCCCCCGCUGGCCCCGGCGUUGCCCCCUCCCUGCACCCCCAGCCCCCCAGGGCCGGGCAGCCAAACUACUCCAGCCCCCUGACCAGCUUUCCCCACAGCGCGGGGGCCCUGCCUUGCACGGCCGCCCCCACCACCAGUACUGGAGGAGGGCAGCAGGAUGAGCUUGGGGGGUGCGGGUGGGGGCGGGGGCGUAGGAGGCUGCACGCUGCUGGGGAUGAGUUGGAGACCCUGGGCAGUCUGCACCAAGAGAAAUGUCUGGGAGUUGGGGGCUGCCGGGCCUGCAGGCGGGGCCUGGGCCGGGCCCCCUGCCACCUCUAGGGAGAGCGUGGCCUGGAGGUGGGGGAGCACGUGGACAUCUUGAGUGGCAGAGGGGGCUGGAGCUGCAGCCAGGGGGGCGGAGGGCUGGGGGCCGGCGGCAGGGGCCGCAGGGCUGGCAGCCGCACUGGCCGGGGCAUGCGUCCUCAGGUGGCGCUGCAAGUAGGCGGCCAUGACGAAGCUGCGGCCGCAGAUGGGGCAGGCGAAGGGACGCUCGGCCGAGUGCGUGCGCUGGUGCAGCAGCAGGUUGGAGGAGUGCGUGAAGGUCUUGGGGCAGAGCGGGCAGCGGAAGGGCCGCUCGCCCGUGUGCACGCGCUGGUGCUGCCGCAGGUUGGAGGUCUGGGCGAAGCUCUUGCCGCACACGCCACAGGCGUGCGGCCGCUCGCCCGUGUGUACGUGCCGGUGGCGCCGCAGGCACGAUGUGUUGCGGAAGGCCUUGCCGCACUCCCCGCAGGCGUAGGGCCGCUCGCCCGAGUGCAGCCGCAGGUGGUACUGGUAGUGCGACGACCACUUGAAGGUGAGGCCGCACUGGCCGCAGGUGAAGGCGCGCAGGCCCGUGUGCACGCGCUGGUGGAUGGCGAGCAGCGACGAGCGCUUGAAUGCCUUCCCGCACUCCCCGCACUGGUACGGCCGCUCGCCCGUGUGGUCCCGCAGGUGGUAGCGCAGCCCCGACGAGCCCUUGAAGGCCUUGCCGCACUCGGCGCACUUGUACGGCCGCUCGGCGGCUGCGGCUGCGGCCGCGGGCGCGGGCGGCGGGGGCGCGGCGGCGGCGGGGGCCAGCGGCUCCUGGGGGCAGGUGACCUCGGCAGCCUCGGCCUGAGGGGGCGGUCGCCCGGCCGCCGCCUCCUCCACGUGGCACUGCUGGUGCGCCAGGAGGCUGGCGAGCUGCGGGAAGGCGCCAUCGCAGCUGCCGCAGCGGAACGCCUGGCCGCCGGCCGCGCCGUGGCUGUGCUGGUGGCGCGAGAGGCCGGCCACCGUUCGGAAGGACUUCCCGCAGGGCAGGCAGGCGAAGCCAGGGGCGCGGCGGCGGCGGCGGCGGCGGCGGCAGGGCGGCGGGCGGGGACAGCGAGGGCAACCGGCGGAGGGUCGGCCUUAGGCGCGUCCGGAGGCCCGACCUGGGCCGCCGGCGCCGCCUCGGGCCCGGGGCACGGCUGGUGCUCCAGGAGCAGCUCCUCGCUGCCGAAGCCCAGCUCGCAGCCGUCGCAGCGGUACACCAGCUCCACCGUGGUCUCGGCGGCGGCCAGGAAGAGCUCGGGCACCACGGGCGGCGGCGGCGGGCGGCGGCGGCGCGGGCGGGCUGGCGGCGGCAGGGGCCGGUGCAGGUAGGAGGGGCGGCGCGCCCAGGGCCUUGGCGGCGGGCUCGCGCGGCGCGGGGGUGCCGGGGGCGGGCGCGGCGGGGCCGCCGUGCGUGCGCUGGUGCAGCAGCAGGUUGGAGGAGUGCGUGAAGGUCUUGGGGCAGAGCGGGCAGCGGAAGGGCCGCUCGCCCGUGUGCACGCGCUGGUGCUGCCGCAGGCUGGACGAGUUCUUGAAAGCCUUGGGGCAGUCGGGGCAGGGGUAGGGCCGCUCGCCCGAGUGCUGCCGCAGGUGGUACUGGUAGUGCGACGACCACUUGAAGGCCAGGCCGCACUGGCCGCAGGUGAAGGCGCGCAGGCCCGUGUGCACGCUGCGGUGGAUCUGCAGCAGGGACGAGCGCUUGAAGGCCUUGGGGCAGUCGGGGCACUGGUAGGGCCGCUCGCCCGUGUGGCCCCGCUGGUGGUAGAGCAGGGCCGAGGAGCCCUUGAAGGCCUUGGGGCAGUCGGGGCACUUGUAGGGCCGCUCGCCCGUGUGCGUGCGCUGGUGGUGCAGGAGCCGCGAGGACCACCGGAACGACUUGCCGCACUCCCCACACUCGUACUGGGCCGCCGGGGCGGGGGCCGCGGGGCCGGGCUUCUCCCCGGCGCCCUCGGCGGUCGAGGCCGGCGCCAUGUCUGCGUGGGAGCCGACCAUCACACCUGGGGGGGAUUCCGGGUCAGGGGAGGGCGGGCGCUCCCCCCGCCUCCACCCGAAGGCCGCACCAGCUCAUCCCCAGCCCCACCCUAGGGCCCCACAGGAGGUAGAGGGCGCCUCCCCAGGCCACCCCCGCCGCAGGGAACCUCCCUGAGGACUAGGGCUUCCAACGGUCCGGGUUUGUCCCGGAACGAGAAACUGCAGGGAUGUGAGGCUUCAGGUGCUAAAAUGGAAACUUCCAGGCAAAGUGGGAGGAGUUGGUCACCUGCCUUAGGAUGUUGGCCAUCACCUCCAGGAGGUACGACAGGCCUGAGGGGGCCAGGCAGUGUCGUUGAAGAAGGCUGGAUGCUCUCCAGCACCCUGGCUUCCCAUCCUUGACCUCUGUUCCUCCACUCCCCAUCCUCCACCCUGCCUCAGACUCCCUCUCACCGCCAUACCCUAAGCCCUUUCACUCUAACUAAAGCCCCUGUGAGCAUCCCACUCUCCCCCACCUCCGGUCCUGCCUGCCCACUCCCUCUUGGUACCCUAACCAAAAAACCCCCAGACUCCAGAUCGGCCAUGCUCCAGGCUCCGCACCCUCCGUCCCCCAUCCCAUCGUGACUUGGUCCUCCGUCUCCCUCUCAUUCAUGCCUGAGGAUCUCGAGGCUCCCUCCUGGCCGCCCUGCACUGCCCUUGCUGCGUUUCUCUAUUCCAUUCACUCCCCAGGUAAUAGUGGCAUGUUCCUUUUUACAAAAAUCUGUUUCUUGUCUCCUCCUGCUCUUGGCAGGUGACCCUGCCAUUGAUCUCGUCACUGAGAGAAUAAAGCAAUCAGAAGAGAACCAUGUACCCGUGGUGCUCAACAGGGCAACCAAGUCCCCGCACCACAGGGCCAUGGCCCAGGGACACUUGGCAAUGCCUGGAGACUGUUCUGGUUGGCUGGUUGUUGACGGGAGGAGCGGGUGCUCCUGGCAUGUGAGGGGUACAGGCCAGGGAUGCUGCUCCACGCCCUACAAUGCACAGGACGGCACCCUGCACCAAGGAACGAUCCCACCCAAAACACCAGUGGGGCUGAGCUGAGAAUGCCUGCCCCGGGCCGGUGGACGCUGCCUUCCCACCCACAGCAGUCUGCCUCAUCUCCUGGACCAUUCCCGUCCGGCCUGCCCGCAAGCUACAUCUCCCAUCUUUUAAAAAAACAGCAACAAAAACUCUUCACCCCACCUCCCCCUCAACUACCCCUGCAUUUCUCUCCUCUCCUUUGCUACAAAGCAACUCAAAAGUGCCGUCAACACAUGCUCCUUCCCAUCUCAAACCCCGUCAGUCAGAGCCCUCCCACCCCACUCAGGGCCUCCAUGGGGCUAAAUGCCAUGGUCACUGCUCAGUGGGCAGUGGAUCCCUCCCUCCUGGAAGCCCUCCCCUGGCCUCCGCCAUUCCCCUCUCCUCUUGCCACCCCUUCUCAGGGCCUGGGGCUGCUUCCUCCUCACCUCCUUGACUUGUGGAUGUAGGGGAGCCCAGGGCUUUGUCAACCCCUGGUCCUCCUCCUCAUCCACACUCUCUCCCUGGGAGCCCUCACCCACUCUCAGGACUUCACCGUCUAUAAACAGGAUGACCCCAAAACUGAUCUCUACUUGACACCUCUCCUGCUCCAAAGCCCUGCUAGGCAUCUGGAUGCCUAACAACACCUCAAACCAAACAUGCCCAAAAUCUGACUCCAGUUUCUUUUGCUCCUGCUC